UACAGGGGGGGCAAGCGUUGUUCGGAAUUACUGGGCGUAAAGGGCGCGUAGGCGGCCUUCUAAGUCGAACGUGAAAUCCCCGGGCUCAACCCGGGAACUGCGUCCGAUACUGGAAGGCUUGAAUCCGGGAGAGGGAUGCGGAAUUCCAGGUGUAGCGGUGAAAUGCGUAGAUAUCUGGAGGAACACCGGUGGCGAAGGCGGCAUCCUGGACCGGCAUUGACGCUGAGGCGCGAAAGCGUGGGGAGCAAACAGG
rnacentral:rRNA from 1 species